rnacentral:rRNA from 1 species
AACGCAUGCAAGUCGAACGUACAUGACGUCACACUCCGGAUUGUAAAGUGGAGUACGGGUGAGUAACUCCUGGAUAAUCUGCCCUCGAGUUUGGGAUAACCCCGCGAAAGCGGGGCUAAUACCGAAUAAGACCACGGGGACCAAAGUCCCUGAGGUAAAAGAUGGCCUCUAUUUAUAAGCUAUCACUUAAGGAUGAGCCCGCGGCCCAUUAGCUAGUUGGUAGGGUAACGGCCUACCAAGGCUAUGAUGGGUAGCUGGUCUGAGAGGACGAUCAGCCACACUGGAACUGAGACACGGUCCAGACUCCUACGGGAGGCAGCAGUGGGGAAUAUUGCGCAAUGGGCGAAAGCCUGACGCAGCAACGCCGCGUGGGGGAUGAAGGUUUUCGGAUUGUAAACCCCUUUCGAUCGGAACGAAUCUCCUCCUGGUAAAUAAUCAGGAGGAUCGACGGUACCGAGAGAAGAAGCCACGGCUAACUCUGUGCCAGCAGCCGCGGUAAGACAGAGGUGGCGAGCGUUGUUCGGAUUUAUUGGGCGUAAAGCGAACGCAGGUGGUUUGGUAAGUCAGGGGUGAAAGUCCACAGCUUAACUGUGGCACUGCCUUUGAUACUGCCUUUCUUGAGUGCAUGAGGGGGAAGCGGAAUUCCGAGUGUAGAGGUGAACUUCGUAGAUAUUCGGAGGAACACCGGUGGCGAAGGCGGCUUCCUGGCAUGUAACUGACACUCAUGUUCGAAAGCGUGGGUAGCAAACAGGAUUAGAUACCCUGGUAGUCCACGCCCUAAACGAUGGGCACUAGGUGUGGGAGGUAUCGACCCCUUCCGUGCCGCAGCUAACGCAUUAAGUGCCCCGCCUGGGGAGUACGGCCGCAAGGUUAAAACUCAAAGGAAUUGACGGGGGCCCGCACAAGCGGUGGAGCAUGUGGUUUAAUUCGACGCAACGCGAAGAACCUUACCUGGGCUUGACAUCCCUGGAACCUCCUGGAAACAGGGGGGUGCCCGCAAGGGAGCCAGGAGACAGGU